UAAAAGGGCCUUUGUCGUGAGUGACACAUGGAGCCCGUGAGGGCUUCGUGCGGAAUCGCUAUCAAGAGAUUUCGGAGGCACAAUUUGUGGCGCACGGUGGCAGUUAGUGCUCAACUGGCCUGACGCCCCA